UACAGGGGGGGCAAGCGUUGUUCGGAAUUACUGGGCGUAAAGGGUCUGUAGGUGGCCAACUAAGUCAGACGUGAAAUCCCUCAGCUUAACUGGGGAACUGCGUCUGAUACUGGAUGGCUUGAGUGUGGGAGAGGAAUGCGGAAUUCCAGGUGUAGCGGUGAAAUGCGUAGAUAUCUGGAGGAACACCGGUGGCGAAGGCGGCAUUCUGGACCGGCAUUGACGCUGAGUGAGCGAAAGCCAGGGGAGCAAACGGG
rnacentral:rRNA from 1 species